ensembl:lncRNA
CAUUAUUCACAUGGGAAAGCUAAAGCAAGGGGGAAAUAAGGCACUUGCCUAAAUCUCUAGAACACGUGCUACCAAUGGGGAGACAAGUGAAAAUCUCUGAGAGUGAGAUCAAGGUAAUCAUCGGUCAGAUCAACUAAACCUGUAACAUGUCUUCACCAAGCAAGCUUGCUUUAACUGUUGCUACAAAAACCUUGCAUGUUCUCCAAGCAUCAGGUAGCUUAAACAAGUUGUUUGUCAAGAACUUGGAGCCAGCUGUGUCCAGUUUAAGUUCAAGCCAGUUAACUGGCUUAGGACCACCAGCCCUCUAAUUGGGCUUGAACAAGUGUUUGCCCAUGACCUUUUGACAUCAGAGGGCCCAAAACUCCACCCUCAGAACAUGCUAAUGUCUCCAUUUCUUGAAUCUUCAGCCUAUGAAGAAGCCUAUAGCAUAGUUUUGCCUGCGAGAACAAUUAUAUCACUUUCUAAUUUCCAAUCACCUUUUCCCAUGCUUCCCACGCCUCGGCUUUAUCCCAUAAAUACCCCCAGCCCCUUAUUUCAGGGGAGGCUGGUUUGAGAGUUCUCCAUCUUUCUGUUUGGUCACCUUGUGGAUGAGCCCUUUGGUGCAAAGUUUGGCAUCUCAGCAUUUGGUUUGCUGUAUACGUCAGAAAGCAACCUGUUUAAGUAAGAAGAGGAUGUUGGGCGUGCACCCAGUCUUCUGUAGUGGAGCAGGCCAAGGAGAAGAAACUUGCAAGGUUUUACUCAAAACUGGAUACACAACUUGUGAGGCCCAGUGCAAAAUGAAAAAUGGUGGACUGCUUAUUCAAAAAGCAGAAGAAGAAAGGCUGUUAAAAGUACUAAAUUAUACAACUUUCUCCUUUAAAAAGAUUUGAUUGUUUGUAAAAUGUAACUUGAAUCAAAUUGCUAUAUGAGUAAUAAUAUAUAUAUUGAAAAAAGUACUUCUGGUGUCAUAAGUUUAUAUAAUAUAAUAAAUAACUGUGGUGUUGGAGAAGACUCUUAAGAGUCCCUUGGACUGCAAGGAGAUCCAACCAGUCCAUUCUGAAGGAGAUCAGACCUGGGAUUUCUUUGGAAGGAAUGACGCUAAAGCUGAAACUCCAGUACUUUGGCCACCUCAUGUGAAGAGUUGACUCAUCGGAAAAGACCCUGAUGCUGGGAGGGAUUGGGGGCAGGAGGAGAAGGGGAUGACAGAGGAUGAGAUUGCUGGAUGGCAUCACAGACUCGAUGGACGUGAGUCUAGGUGAACUCCGGGAGUCGGUGAUGGACAGGGAGGCCUGGCAUGCUGCGAUUCAUGGGGUCGCAAAGAGUCAGACACGACUGAGAGACUGAACUGAACCUUAAUAGUUUGAUCAUAAGAUUUAUUCUGGAUCAGUUUUCUGCAAAUCAAUUUGUUAGGUCAUCCAAAUAUAUAAUUUUAGCAACUUCAUUUCAAUGAAUAAAAUUAAAGAAGCAUCAAUCACUCCUGGCAAAUGUAAGACUGCAAAUAAUGUUUGAAAAAGUUUAAUUUUGCAAGCAUCUUCCUACUUAUGUACCUAUUAAUUAAUAAGCUGUGAUAAGUAUUUCAUAGGCUGUGACAAAUUGUGAUAAAUAUCUGGCAAAUUAUUUUAAAAUAUAAAUUGUAUUAUAUUUAGAGCUUAUAAUUGUGGGAUAAUUUUUCUAAAGAGAUUUAACUCUUCAUACAAGUGAGUUUCAGGUAAGUCUAUACUUAAUUUUAAAUAUGAAUUUGCACAAUGGUAUUUUAAUGGUUCCUUUGACUUUCUUUAGUUUAUGGAUAUCAUUUAAGAAGAUGAAAGGGACUUCAUGAUUUGUAUAUAAUUUUUAAUGUCUGUUUUAUAUCACUAUCUUCAAUUAGAAGGAAACAUUCAUUUAAAAAUUAUUUUCCUUGUUAAUAAUUAUCUGAAGCUUCGUAAGAAUUUGGGAUCCUUUUCUAUUAAAUGCAAUGUCUUUACAUUUAAUCGCUAUCACUAAGCUUGUGAAUACUUACUUUUUAAUACUGCAGCAGCUUUCACAAGUCAGGGAUUCUAAACUCUGAAGAAUUGUAAUGACUCCCUGAUAUGCUUUAUUGUGGUUUCAGUGUGUUUGCUGUUUGUAAUUAUCUGCUGACAAAGUUUACUGUCGAGCACAAGCAAUUUCUGUCCAGUGUUUAGAAUAAAAAGUUAAUAUUUGUGCAAAGCCUUAAGAACAGGCCUCAGGGAUGGGAUGGAGGGGCAAGCCAGCCUCCCACCAGGGGUUCUGAGGGUGCUUCCUCU